CGCUCUGGGUGAUUGAGCAGAAGUCAGCAGAUGUCAUAGUAGCCAAAUGCUCAUCGUAACGGAUGAGACAGGGUGAAGGGC
rfam:Stromatolite metagenome 54467710, whole genome shotgun sequence.